rnacentral:lncRNA from 1 species
GAUGCUGCAGUUUUUCGUCUCUACUAUUGUUAUCUUUAUUGGUAGAAAGUCAACACUGUCAAUACAAAUCUGACGGAUGGUGUGCACCAAGUGUUCGUUGGAUUGUUUUAGAGUAGCCAUAUAUCUGGUUUUGACAUCAAUACUUUUUUGAAUAAGUUUUCAAAGGUUGUGGUUGCAAAAUAUUUUCUUUGUAGAUCCACAACUUCAGUGUAAUUUGUAUCAUCAACCUGAACCCUGCAUUUGGUCAUAAGGUGUGUGAUGGCAGUCUGGC